rnacentral:rRNA from 1 species
UCUUACGGCCAUACCACCCUGAGCGCGCCUGAUCUCGUCUGAUCUUGGAAGCUAAGCAGGGUCGGGCCUGGUUAGUACUUGGAUGGGAGAACGCCUGGGAAUACCAGGUGCUGUAAGCU